rnacentral:tRNA from 1 species
GUCUUUGUAGUACAAUUAAUAUACUGGUCUUGUAAACCAGAGAAGGAGAACAAUCAACCUCCCUAAGACUCCUAAGACU